rnacentral:rRNA from 1 species
AUGAACGCUAGCUACAGGCUUAACACAUGCAAGUCGAGGGGCAGCAGGAUCUAGCAAUAGAUUGCUGGCGACCGGCGCACGGGUGAGUAACACGUAUCCAACCUGCCGAUAACUCGGGGAUAGCCUUUCGAAAGAAAGAUUAAUACCCGAUGGUAUAAUCAGACCGCAUGGUCUUGUUAUUAAAGAAUUUCGGUUAUCGAUGGGGAUGCGUUCCAUUAGGCAGUUGGUGAGGUAACGGCUCACCAAACCUUCGAUGGAUAGGGGUUCUGAGAGGAAGGUCCCCCACAUUGGAACUGAGACACGGUCCAAACUCCUACGGGAGGCAGCAGUGAGGAAUAUUGGUCAAUGGGCGCAGGCCUGAACCAGCCAAGUAGCGUGAAGGAUGACUGCCCUAUGGGUUGUAAACUUCUUUUAUAUGGGAAUAAAGUUUUCCACGUGUGGAAUUUUGUAUGUACCAUAUGAAUAAGGAUCGGCUAACUCCGUGCCAGCAGCCGCGGUAAUACGGAGGAUCCGAGCGUUAUCCGGAUUUAUUGGGUUUAAAGGGAGCGUAGGUGGACAGUUAAGUCAGUUGUGAAAGUUUGCGGCUCAACCGUAAAAUUGCAGUUGAUACUGGCUGUCUUGAGUACAGUAGAGGUGGGCGGAAUUCGUGGUGUAGCGGUGAAAUGCUUAGAUAUCACGAAGAACUCCGAUUGCGAAGGCAGCUCACUGGACUGCAACUGACACUGAUGCUCGAAAGUGUGGGUAUCAAACAGGAUUAGAUACCCUGGUAGUCCACACAGUAAACGAUGAAUACUCGCUGUUUGCGAUAUACAGUAAGCGGCCAAGCGAAAGCAUUAAGUAUUCCACCUGGGGAGUACGCCGGCAACGGUGAAACUCAAAGGAAUUGACGGGGGCCCGCACAAGCGGAGGAACAUGUGGUUUAAUUCGAUGAUACGCGAGGAACCUUACCCGGGCUUAAAUUGCAUUUGAAUAUAUUGGAAACAGUAUAGCCGUAAGGCAAAUGUGAAGGUGCUGCAUGGUUGUCGUCAGCUCGUGCCGUGAGGUGUCGGCUUAAGUGCCAUAACGAGCGCAACCCUUAUCUUUAGUUACUAACAGGUCAUGCUGAGGACUCUAGAGAGACUGCCGUCGUAAGAUGUGAGGAAGGUGGGGAUGACGUCAAAUCAGCACGGCCCUUACGUCCGGGGCUACACACGUGUUACAAUGGGGGGUACAGAAGGCAGCUACCUGGUGACAGGAUGCUAAUCCCAAAAGCCUCUCUCAGUUCGGAUCGAAGUCUGCAACCCGACUUCGUGAAGCUGGAUUCGCUAGUAAUCGCGCAUCAGCCAUGGCGCGGUGAAUACGUUCCCGGGCCUUGUACACACCGCCCGUCAAGCCAUGAAAGCCGGGGGUACCUGAAGUACGUAACCGCAAGGAGCGUCCUAGGGUAAAACUGGUAAUUGGGGCU